rnacentral:tRNA from 1 species
CGGGGCGUGGCGCAGUUUGGUUAGCGCGCCUGCUUUGGGAGCAGGAGGUCGGCGGUUCGAAUCCGCCCGCCCCGACCG